rfam:Xanthomonas fragariae strain PD5205 genome assembly, chromosome: 1
AUGUACCCCUCGUACGCUGCGGUUGCUCCGUCCACCUGGCGACUGCUCGCUACGUUUUGUGAGCC